rnacentral:rRNA from 1 species
GACGAACGCUGGCGGCGUGCCUAAUACAUGCAAGUCGAACGCAGGGGGGACGGGUGAGUAACACGUGGGUAACCUCCCAUCAGAGGGGAUAACACUUGGAAAAAGGUGCUAAACCGAUACUGAUGGAAGGACCCGCGGUGGAUGAGGUAGUUGGUGGGGAAACGGCUCACCAAGGCCACGAAGCAUACCCGACCUGCGAGGGUGAUCAGCCACACUGGGACUGAGACACGGCCCAGACUCCUACGGGAGGCAGCAGGAGGGAAUCUUCGGCAAUGGACGAAAGCCUGACCGAGCAACGCCGCGUGAGUGAAGAAGGUUUUCGGAUCGUAAAACUCUGUUGUUAGAGAAGCGGUAUCUACCCAGAAAGCCACGGCUAACUACGUGCCAGCAGCCGCGGUAAUUC